ACGUAGGUGGCGAGCGUUGUCCGGAAUUAUUGGGCGUAAAGAGCAUGUAGGCGGUUUUUUAAGUCUGGAGUGAAAAUGCGGGGCUUAACCCCGUAUGGCUCUGGAUACUGGAAGACUUGAGUGCAGGAGAGGAAAGGGGAAUUCCCAGUGUAGCGGUGAAAUGCGUAGAUAUUGGGAGGAACACCAGUGGCGAAGGCGCCUUUCUGGACUGUGUCUGACGCUGAGAUGCGAAAGCCAGGGUAGCGAACGG
rnacentral:rRNA from 1 species